rnacentral:lncRNA from 1 species
GACGGAAGAAACAGAUAAACGGAGAGGCCGGGGCAGGGGGAGGCUGGGAGCUGUUCCGCCGCAGGAGCUUUUGUCCCGGCCUGGCGCUGUGGCGCUGACAUUAACCGGCCAGAAGCCUGAAUCAAGACAGAGGAAACGGAAAACGAAGCAGUCGCCGCCCACACUGAAAUCGGGGCACUCGAGGCUCCUGGAGAACAGGCUCUGGAGCCAACUCACCUGGGCUCACCUGGGCUCACCUGGGCUCAAACCCCAGCUACCCGCCCACAGGCUGGGUGUUGUUGGCUGAGGCAUUUCACCUCCUUGUGCCUCAGUUUCUUCACCUCCCUUAGGGAUGUGUUGGCCUGAAGGUGGGGGGGACGUGUCCAGGGAAGUGAAGACCAGUGAAUGUGGCUCCUGGAGAUGGGCCCAGCAGGUGCCAGUUUCAAGGCAGAGGUGAGGUGUUGGUUCAGGUCUUUUGGGUCUGAGGGACUCAGGAAGGUGCAAUCAGGGAAACUGAGUCAGCCCUGGACAGAGGAGCUAAGAGAAGGAGCAGGGACAGCACCCAGGCGGGGAGGGCAAGUGCCGUGACCAAGGAGCAGCAGAGAGGAAGGUGCAAAGAAGCCUGAUACCAGGGGCCGGGGAGGAGGUUCCUCGGAGAGCGGGCGGGAGAGCAGGGUAGCUUCCUGUGGCUGGCUCAGGGCUGCCAUGGACAGUGACGAGAAGGAAUCAAGCCUCCAGUUUAGGGAAUCUGUUCCUGGUGAUCCCUGGGCUAAAGGACUCAUCAGGGCAAUCCCAGUAUCUUGCCCUGACACAUAUGUCACCCAGGAGGGUGGUGGCGUGGUCACAGCAGUGCAAUGUGCCUUCUUGUCACCUGAGAGCUCACCCAGGGCCUCACCCGGCUGCUUCUCCAAGGCCCCCCUUUCUGGCCAGCCCCAGAGGAAGGUCUCUUAAGGCAGAAUCACAAAGAGCCUGAGGCUGCCUGGAAUUUUCUCCCAUGCUGCGGUGCUGCCGUGCCAGCCAUCUCAGCGUGCGCGGCCUUUGUACACUUCUCUGGAAUGCGGCUUUUAUUUUCUAACAAAGCAAAUGUUUUACUGUCAGUUUUCCUUUAACAAAUAAAUAUUGGCUCCAACAAAUGUCAGAGAAACUCUACAAAAUAAACCCAAGUAUCUGUGAUUAAUUAAGGGGAAAAUCAUCCUCCCCACUCUUCCCCGGCUCAAAAAAAGUAAGUCCCACCCAAGAGGAGAUUUUCAGCUGUAGGCCCCUCCAGAGCGUGGGUGGGUUUCUGGAGUUUUGGGUGGUUGAGUUUUUCUCUGGCCUGGGGAGGCCCCAUCCUGGAGCUCUUUAUCUGCUGCUUCCCACCCAUCACAUGAAGGGUUGGAAUCCAAUAAUGGCAGAGAUGCCGCCUCCAUGCUGUGAGGAAGGGCUCUGCCCGGAGCUAGGACCUGAUGUCAUGUCUGUGCUUUUAAAAAUACAAGGCCGGCCUGUUGAUUCUCCCAGGAGCUUUAUGGUAUCAACCAACGCCUGGGGC